rnacentral:rRNA from 1 species
GUUAGGAAUAUUGGACAAUGGGCGCAAGCCUGAUCCAGCCAUGCCGCGUGAGUGAUGAAGGCCUUCGGGUUGUAAAGCUCUUUAGCCGAUGAUUAUAAUGACUGUAGUCGGAAAAUAAGCCCCGGCUAACUUCGUGCCAGCAGCCGCGGUAAUACGAAGGGGGCGAGCGUUAUUCGGAAUCACUGGGCGUAAAGCGUGCGUAGGCGGCUUUGCAAGUUGGGAGUGAAAGCCAAGGGCUCAACCCUGGAAUUGCUCUCAAAACUGCAAGGCUCGAAUUCGGGAGAGGAUAGCGGAAUUGUCAGUGUAGCAGUGAAAUGCGUAGAUAUUGACAGGAACACCAGUGGCGUAAGCGGCUAUCUGGACCGAUAUUGACGCUGAGGCACGAAAGCGUGGGGAUCAAACAGGAUUAGAAACCCCUGUAGUCC